AUUGAACGCUGGCGGUAUGCUUAACACAUGCAAGUCGAACGGUAGCAGGCCUUCGGGCGCUGACGAGUGGCGGACGGGUGAGUAACGCGUAGGAAUCUGCCUCAUAGUGGGGGACAACGUGGGGAAACUCACGCUAAUACCGCAUACGCCCCAAGGGGGAAAGGAGGGGAUCUUCGGACCUUUCGCUAUGAGAUGAGCCUGCGUUAGAUUAGCUAGUUGGUAGGGUAAAGGCCUACCAAGGCGACGAUCUAUAGCUGGUUUGAGAGGACGAUCAGCCACACUGGGACUGAGACACGGCCCAGACUCCUACGGGAGGCAGCAGUGGGGAAUAUUGGACAAUGGGCGAAAGCCUGAUCCAGCAAUACCGCGUGUGUGAAGAAGGCCUUAGGGUUGUAAAGCACUUUCAAUUGGGAGGAAAACCUACCGGUCAAUACCCGGUAGCUUGACAUUACCUUUAGAAGAAUACGUG
rnacentral:rRNA from 1 species